AACGCAUAUUGCACUCUAUUUCGGUAGAGUAUGCCUGUUUGAGAAUCUAUAGUAUUUAUUUUACUAUUUUGCUUUAAUUAGCAGCUUAGUAAAGAUCUGAGGCUUGACUACUUGUAGUAGUCUGUCUUGAAAUCUAUAGCUGAACUGUGCCCAGAGUGUUUGACUCUUUGCAAAGCAUCAGAAACGUAUUUGAAUGGGGUUUACCUCUUAUAAUGCUUAUUAAGAUGCAGCAUUGAUUAGCUCGAAAGCGCUUUGCAGUCCAACCAUAAAGCCGUAAAAAAGCUUGAACCAUGGUCUCAAAUCAGGUAGGAAUACCCGCUGAACUUAA
rnacentral:misc_RNA from 1 species